CAGUAGCCACGGGAAUACGUAGGGCGCAAGCGUUAUCCGGAAUUAUUGGGCGUAAAGAGCUCGUAGGCGGUUUGUCGCGUCUGCCGUGAAAGUCCGGGGCUCAACCCCGGAUCUGCGGUGGGUACGGGCAGACUAGAGUGAUGUAGGGGAGACUGGAAUUCCUGGUGUAGCGGUGAAAUGCGCAGAUAUCAGGAGGAACACCGAUGGCGAAGGCAGGUCUCUGGGCAUUAACUGACGCUGAGGAGCGAAAGCAUGGGGAGCGAACAGGAUUAGAUACCCCUGUAGUCCCUGUCUCUUAUAA
rnacentral:rRNA from 1 species